rnacentral:rRNA from 1 species
UAGGGAAUAUUGGUAAUCUGGGAAACCGGGAACCAGCAACGCCGCGUGUGCGAUGAAGGCCUUCGGGUUGUAAAGCACUUUUUGAGGGGAUGAAAAAGGACAGUACCCUCAGAAUAAGUCUCGGCUAACUACAUGCCAGCAGCCGCGGUAAGACGUAGGAGACGAGCGUUAUUCGGAUUUACUGGGCGUAAAGCGCGUGCAGGCGGUUUGGUAAGUUGGAUGUGAAAGCUCCCGGCUCAACUGGGAGAGGUCGUUCAAAACUGCCAGACUAGAGAAUAGGAGAGGGAGGUGGAAUUCCGGGUGUAGUGGUGAAAUGCGUAGAUAUCCGGAGGAACACCAGUGGCGAAGGCGACCUCCUGGCCUAUUUCUGACGCUCAGACGCGAAAGCUAGGGUAGCAAACGG